rfam:Pseudobacteroides cellulosolvens ATCC 35603 = DSM 2933 ctg1, whole genome shotgun sequence.
AAUGAUACUUCUGCCUUGAACGCCUCACCGCAUUGGGCAGCCUGCAAUGAAUGACAGGAUAACGCUCAUUUGGUUUGAGAACUUAUAACCAUGUCAGCUUAU